GUGGUUGUGGCUCAGUGGUAGAGCACUUGCCUAGCACAUGUGAGGCACUGGGUUCAAUCCUCAGCACCACG
rnacentral:tRNA from 1 species